rnacentral:rRNA from 1 species
UACGGGGGGGGUAAGCGUUGUUCGGAAUUACUGGGCGUAAAGGGCUCGUAGGCGGCCAACUAAGUCAGACGUGAAAUCCCUCAGCUUAACUGGGGAACUGCGUCUGAUACUGGAUGGCUUGGAUUCGGGAGAGGAAUGCGGAAUUCCAGGUGUAGCGGUGGAAUGCGCAGAUAUCAGGAGGAACCCCGGUGGCGAAGGCGGCAUCCUGGACCGGCAUUGACGCUGAGGCGCGAAAGCCAGGGGAGCAAACGGG